GUUGACACACAAGUUCUCUUUUGGUCACCGAAGUUAAGCAGCGUCGAGAUUAGUCAGUACUUAGAUGGGUAACCCCUUGGGAAUAACAGGUGAU